CUCACUUCAACCUCUGAUUCGCUUGGUGCAGGUCGGGAACCAUUACAUCCACAGUUUCCCUCGGUAAAUUGGAUCCUGCCUUGCAUCAAUCGAAUCGGAGGCUGCAGUGAAU
rnacentral:pre_miRNA from 14 species